rnacentral:lncRNA from 1 species
CUGCCUGACACGGGACUUGGCCUUUGGCAGAGGAACUAGUCACUUCCACCCCUUGUCCAGCAGAGAAGCAGAGGAAUAAAUACAUCAACCUCUUCUCCUCCCACCCCACUCCACUCAAACUCCUAUCGGUGCCUUCCACUGGCACCAGCCGGAAUGCAAGGGAGCCUGUUGAUGCAGCCCUUCCAGGCUCCCCGUGAAGACUGUCACCACCAGAGGUCCUGCUACGUCUCCAGCAACUUACCUUUGAUGUGGCUUUAAGAGAGGUGCCUUCUCUAGUUAACUACCAUUUGCAACACUGCAGGGAAGUCCCCCAAGUGUAGGCCUGUCUGCUCUACAGUGAACCUCUGAGAGCUGAGUUGCUCCGGGCCACCUGCCGAAUCUUCAUAUGGCACCCCUUCAACCUUGGGCGAUGGUGAAAUCACCGACUCUCAGGCUCCCCCAGUUGUCUCACUUGGACUGACCGACAGUUCCACUAGCUACAGCCUAGCACAGCCCCC